AUGAGUGUAGCCAUGCUAGCACGAUGGA
rnacentral:sRNA from 1 species